rnacentral:rRNA from 1 species
CCCUUAGAUGUUCUGGGCCGCACGCGCGCUACACUGAUGCAUUCAACGAGUCUAAAACCUGGUCUGAUAGGGCUGGGUAAUCUUUUGAAAGUGCAUCGUGAUUGGGAUAGAUGAUUGCAAUUCUUCAUCUUCAACGAGGAAUGCCUAGUAAACGCAAGUCAUCAGCUUGCAUUGAUUACGUCCCUGCCCUUUGUACACACCGCCCGUCGCACCUACCGAUUGAAUGGUCCGGUGAAAUCUCGGGACGGCGGCUUGGUCGCUUGCGUCCGACUGCUGAAACUUGAUUAAACCAUAUCAUUUAGAGGAAGGUGAAGUCGUAACA